rnacentral:lncRNA from 1 species
GACAAAGCUCCAUUGUUUCCGAUGAAAAUAAUAUUCCAACAAAGUUAUUGAUUGUUUUUUCCCGACAAAAGUUCAUUAUUUUUUCAUGUAAUUGUGAUAAUGAUGACUAGUGAAAGAAGAUGAAGACCAUGAAUGAAAGGUUUAAUGCCAAAAGAAUGAAAGGUGAUUGAGGGGUUAGCUUAGAUGGAUAGCAAUGGUGUAUUAUUGACGCCGGUGAAAGGGAUAAGAUUCGAUUGAGAAGAAGAAAUGGGUGGAGGCUAUGAUUUAGUGGCAGUUGAGGUGCAGUGUCUCAAUGCUUAGGAAUUAAGAUCCGACACAUUGAAAAUGGAAAUAAGUAG